CCCAGACUAGCCCAAACGGUAAAGAACCUGCCUGCAAUGCAGGAGACCAGGGUUCCACCCCUGGGUUGGGA
rnacentral:tRNA from 1 species